GAUGAACGCUAGCGGCAGGCCUAACACAUGCAAGUCGAGGGGUAACAGGGUAGCAAUAUCGCUGACGACCGGCGCACGGGUGAGUAACACGUAUGCAACCUUCCUUUAACUGGGGGAUAGCCCGGAGAAAUUCGGAUUAAUACCCCAUAAUAUCACAGAAAGGCAUCUUUUUGUGAUUAAAGCUCCGGCGGUUAAAGAUGGGCAUGCGUACCAUUAGCUAGUUGGUGAGGUAACGGCUCACCAAGGCAACGAUGGUUUGGGGGUCUGAGAGGAUGAUCCCCCACACUGGUACUGAGACACGGACCAGACUCCUACGGGAGGCAGCAGUGAGGAAUAUUGGGCAAUGGGCGCAAGCCUGACCCAGCCAUGCUGCGUGAAGGAUGAAUGCCCUAUGGGUUGUAAACUUCUUUUGUACGGGACGAAACUCCUGGUCGUGACCGGGAUUGACUGUACCGUGCGAAUAAGCAUCGGCUAACUCCGUGCCAGCCGCCGCAGUAAAAC
rnacentral:rRNA from 1 species